rnacentral:rRNA from 1 species
UACGUAGGGUGCAAGCGUUUGUCCGGAAUUAUUGGGCGUAAAGAGCUCGUAGGCGGUUUGUCGCGUCUGUUGUGAAAACCCGAGGCUCAACCUCGGGCCUGCAGUGGGUACGGGCAGACUAGAGUGCGGUAGGGGAGAUUGGAAUUCCUGGUGUAGCGGUGAAAUGCGCAGAUAUCAGGAGGAACACCGGUGGCGAAGGCGGGUCUCUGGGCCGAUACUGACGCUGAGGAGCGAAAGCGUGGGGAGCGAACAGG